GUAAAUAACAAAAAUGAGUUUGUGAAAACAGCAGACGAAAAUUACCAAGUGAGACCAAAGAGCACACCUCCAAUGUUGAGACACCCUAUGAACAAAGAGGAUAAGAUCACAUAUACAGAAAAUGAUAUGAUGGAUUCAUCAUCCUUUAAGGGCAUGUUGCCACGGUACCCUCCCAGUCCAGUUUCUAUCUACCAGAGUUUAGCUUAUCCAAAUGUAGUUAAGGUACGUCACUUUUGAUUAUUUUGAGGUUAAUAACAUAGUGUUUACUUUUAUGAGAUAAUAAAUAAGGGUUUAGGAAUUAGUUAACUAUGACAGAGUAAUCUGACAGAGUAAAUGACAGAGUAAUCUAUUUUUAACUUUGAAUUUGGUGGGACUGUGUAGAUUUGGAAUAGGAACUCAUCUUGCACUUGAUAUAAAAAUUAUUGGUUGGCGCAAUUAAUUAUCCAGAGAACGAUAAACCAACUGAUCCAUUCUUCAUAUGUCCCACCUCACCAUCCACUAAUUCAUGACACAAUCAGUUUCAACGAUAUGGUCUCUAUACUUUAUUUAACCAACAUUAUGCCACACAGUGGAUUUGGCCAGAGGGAUAAACAUUAAGCAGUGUACCCCCUGGCAAAUGGUCUCUGACUGUGCCACAUGUUUUGCUAAUAUUUCCACCCUUAUCUCCUACUUUUCAAACUGUGCCUGGCUGUAAAAUCUAAUGAGACCUGGCAAGGUCACUCAAGUCAGUUGCAUGAAAAGACCAAACUUUUCUUUACAUUGGUUAUAUUGAGAACUUUCCUCGUUCCUGGCUAUUCUAUUCGUCAAUGAGCAAAACGUUUGCAGCUCAACAUGGGAGAGUUUGUUUUAUUAUUAUUGUUAUUAUUAUUAAAAGCCACUUCUCUAAUUUCAUGUUUUUACAGCUAUUCUGGACAGCACCUCCAGAGAUUGUCGACUGUUACGAUGUUGAGUUUCAAGAGAUCACUAACUCGGACUGGUCAGGAAGCCAACACUUUGGAG